rnacentral:rRNA from 1 species
AGCAGUCGCCGCGGUAAUACGAAGGGGGCUAGCGUUGUUCGGAUUUACUGGGCGUAAAGCGCACGUAGGCGGACUUUUAAGUCAGGGGUGAAAUCCCGGGGCUCAACCCCGGAACUGCCUUUGAUACUGGGAGUCUUGAGUUCGAGAGAGGUGAGUGGAAUUGCGAGUGUAGAGGUGAAAUUCGUAGAUAUUCGCAGGAACACCAGUGGCGAAGGCGGCUCACUGGCUCGAUACUGACGCUGAGGUGCGAAAGCGUGGGGAGCAAACAGGACUAGAUACCCCUGUAGUCCCUGUCUCUUAUAC